ACGAACGCUGGCGGCGUGCUUAACACAUGCAAGUCGAACGGAAAGGCCCUUCGGGGUACUCGAGUGGCGAACGGGUGAGUAACACGUGGGUGAUCUGCCCUGCACUUUGGGAUAAGCCUGGGAAACUGGGUCUAAUACCGAAUACACCUCGCUGGCCGCAUGGUCUGGUGGGGGAAAGCUUUUGCGGUGUGGGAUGGGCCCGCGGCCUAUCAGCUUGUUGGUGGGGUGAUGGCCUACCAAGGCGACGACGGGUAGCCGGCCUGAGAGGGUGACCGGCCACACUGGGACUGAGAUACGGCCCAGACUCCUACGGGAGGCAGCAGUGGGGAAUAUUGCACAAUGGGCGCAAGCCUGAUGCAGCGACGCCGCGUGGGGGAUGACGGCCUUCGGGUUGUAAACCCCUUUCAGCACAGACGAAGCGCAAGUGACGGUAUGUGCAGAAGAAGGACCGGCCAACUACGU
rnacentral:rRNA from 1 species